rnacentral:rRNA from 1 species
CCCUUAGAUGUCCUGGGCCGCACGCGCGCUACACUGAUGCAUUCAACGAGUUCUACCUUGGCCGAGAGGCCUGGGCAAUCUUUUGAACCUGCAUCGUGAUAGGGAUAGAUUAUUGCAAUUAUUAAUCUUGAACGAGGAAUUCCUAGUAAACGCAGAUCAUCAAUCUGCAUUGAUUACGUCCCUGCCCUUUGUACACACCGCCCGUCGCACCUACCGAUUGAAUGGUCCGGUGAAGCCUCGGGAUUGUGGCGAGUUCCCUUUAUUGGGAGUUUGUCGCGAGAACUUGUCUAAACCUUAUCAUUUAGAGGAAGGUGAAGUCGUAGCA